GCCAUGCGUGUCUAAGUACAUACCUUAAAACGGUGAAAUCACGAAUCGCUCAUCAAAUCAGCUAUGGUUCCUUAGAUCAUAUAUACUACAUGGGUAACUGUAAUAAUUCUAGAGUUAAUACACGCAAUUAUGCCCUGACACGCAAGGGAACGGGUGCAUUUACUAGAACAGAACCAACCGGGGGCAAUUUCUGCUGUCUCUGUUGAAUUCUGUGAUGACUCUGGAUAACUUUAUUGAUCCCAAAAUUAAAAUCCUAAAUUCGCCAAAACACCAAGGCUAUGCCGUAAAUCUCACCUACGCUAAAAGACACAAGUUCAUGAAAAGAGACUUUAAUACUUCACUAAUCAUUAAAUUCACAAGUGUUAUUUUCUAAUUAAUUAGUAUGUGGAUCAAAUAGUUAUACAGU
rnacentral:ncRNA from 1 species